GAUGAACGCUGGCGGCGUGCUUAACACAUGCAAGUCGAACGAAGCACCUUGAUUCGAUUCUUCGGAUGAAGAUCUUGGUGACUGAGUGGCGGACGGGUGAGUAACGCGUGGGUAACCUGCCUCAUACAGGGGGAUAACAGUUAGAAAUGACUGCUAAUACCGCAUAAGACCACAGCACCGCAUGGUGCAGGGGUAAAAACUCCGGUGGUAUGAGAUGGACCCGCGUCUGAUUAGGUAGUUGGUGGGGUAACGGCCUACCAAGCCGACGAUCAGUAGCCGACCUGAGAGGGUGACCGGCCACAUUGGGACUGAGACACGGCCCAAACUCCUACGGGAGGCAGCAGUGGGGAAUAUUGCACAAUGGGGGAAACCCUGAUGCAGCGACGCCGCGUGAGCGAUGAAGUAUUUCGGUAUGUAAAGCUCUAUCAGCAGGGAAGAAAAUGACGGUACCUGAAUAAGAAGCACCGGCUAAAUACGCG
rnacentral:rRNA from 1 species